CGCAAAGUCAUCUGAGGAUGGAUGCUGCUUCAGUCCACAGUGAAAUAAGGAACAGUUCAGCUCUGCCCAGCUCAGCCCAGGACCCAAGAACAAAGAUUAGACCUCAGACAUUCAAACCAAGGAAUGGACUUCUGAGGACACAGAUUAGACAAGCUGAGGAAAGAGGCCUCAGAGAAAACGAAGUUGACAACACCUUGACCUUGGACUUGUAGCCCCCACAACUUGUUUGGUCCAUAUGUGCUCUGCCCCUGUCACAUGGUUGGCAUCCAGUGCCCAUAGGCAAAGAAAGAGAAGGCAGGGAUUGGCUGCAGGGUGGACCAAACAACAUUGAGGAGGAGAGUCUCCUGGAAAAAAGUAUCUGCUAUUAAAGGGUACACUUGAGAAGAGACAAUCCAAGAAUCCAAGUUCUUUGGAAAGACAUGGUCAAAUAGCACGUGACCAGGAGGGGAAUACCUUUUGCAUGAGGUCAACAUA